rnacentral:misc_RNA from 1 species
GCGGCAACAAACCACAAAGCAAAAUGCUGAGAAGAGUUUUACUAAAUGAAGUUUCCACUUGCCGUCAUUUUCUGUUCAACAAAGCAGCAACUUCUCUUUCAUUUCCUCUGCGCAGGAUUAACUCCUUUUUUUCUUCGUCUUCGCAAUCAGAAUUCCCCAACGCUCCUUUCGUCGAACAUUUGGAGAACCACAAGGCCCAACCUACCACUACCAUCUCCAUCGACCGCUCCGGACUUUAUAACCCCGAUGAGCAUUCUCAUGAAUCCACUUUGGAGUCGGAGCUUAUCAAGCACCUUAAAGGCGUUAUCAAGUUCCGAGGUGGCCCAAUUACAGUGGCUGAGUACAUGGAAGAAGUUUUGACAAACCCUAAAGCCGGGUUCUACAUUAAUCGAGAUGUGUUUGGAGCAGAAGGUGAUUUUAUAACAUCUCCUGAAGUUAGCCAGAUGUUUGGGGAGAUGAUUGGUGUGUGGGCCAUGUGUUUAUGGGAGCAAAUGGGACAGCNAGAGUGAACCUGGUAGAGCUUGGUCCAGGUCGAGGAACUCUUAUGGCUGAUCUUCUGCGUGGCGC